rnacentral:tRNA from 1 species
GCUCAGCUCAGUCGGUACAGCAUGAGACUCUUAAUCUCAGGGUCGUGGGUUUGAGACCCACGUUGGGCG